rnacentral:rRNA from 1 species
UAGGGAAUCUUCGGCAAUGGGGGGAACCCUGACCGAGCAACGCCGCGUGAGUGAAGAAGGUUUUCGGAUCGUAAAGCUCUGUUGUUAAGGAAGAACGAGUGUGAGAAUGGAAAGUUCAUACUGUGACGGUACUUAACCAGAAAGGGACGGCUAACUACGUGCCAGCAGCCGCGGUAAUACGUAGGUCCCGAGCGUUGUCCGGAUUUAUUGGGCGUAAAGCGAGCGCAGGCGGUUAGAUAAGUCUGAAGUUAAAGGCAGUGGCUCAACCAUUGUAGGCUUUGGAAACUGGUUAACUUGAGUGCAGAAGGGGAGAGUGGAAUUCCAUGUGUAGCGGUGAAAUGCGUAGAUAUAUGGAGGAACACCGGUGGCGAAAGCGACUUUCUGGCCAUAAUCUGACGCUGAGGUACGAAAGCGUGGGGAGCGAACAGG